GCCUGGGUGGCUCAGUCGGUUGAGCGUCUGACUUCAGCUCAGGUCAUGAUCUCACGGUUCGUGAGUUCGAGCCCCGUGUCAGGCU
rnacentral:tRNA from 1 species